rnacentral:rRNA from 1 species
CCUACGGGUGGCUGCAGUGGGGAAUAUUGGACAUGGGCGAAAGCCUGAUCCAGCCAUGCCGCGUGUGUGAAGAAGGCCUUCGGGUUGUAAAGCACUUUCAGUGGGGAAGAAAGCCUUGGGGCUAAUACCCUCGAGGAAGGACAUCACCCACAGAAGAAGCACCGGCUAACUCCGUGCCAGCAGCCGCGGUAAUACGGAGGGUGCGAGCGUUAAUCGGAAUUACUGGGCGUAAAGCGCGCGUAGGCGGUCUGAUAAGCCGGUUGUGAAAGCCCCGGGCUCAACCUGGGAACGGCAUCCGGAACUGUCAGGCUAGAGUGAAGGAGAGGAAGGUAGAAUUCCCGGUGUAGCGGUGAAAUGCGUAGAGCUCGGGAGGAAUACCAGUGGCGAAGGCGGCCUUCUGGACUGACACUGACGCUGAGGUGCGAAAGCGUGGGUAGCAAACAGGAUUAGAUACCCCGGUAGUC